UGAUGGAGGAUCUGGGCCACUACUUCCGUGAUGUCCAACUCUGGUGGCUUGGGUCUUUCUACCCUGUCCUGCAUCUCGUCCACCCUACGUUCACUGCCCCUGUGCUCCAGGCUUCAGCUGCUGUUGCACUCAAGGAUAUGAGUUUCUAUGGCUUCCUGAAGCCCUGGCUGGGUGA
rnacentral:lncRNA from 1 species